UACAUUCAUUCUUAAGGAAUCGGCAGAAACAGAAUUAUCCGGCCUGCUCUUUGGUUCCCCACACCCAUGUUUACAUUUCCUAACAGCUACCAACUUUGGCCUUACUUCCUCUAAAAAAAGUACAUUCUCUACAACGUUAUUACCUGCCUCCCAAGCCUGACAUAUUCUCAACCUGGUCGUGCCACCACUGGCCUUCUCAGAUUGCGGCACAACUCUUAAAAACUCAGAUUGUCUCUUCUGACUGGCUCUGUUGUUGUUUCUUCCCUCCACUCCCGCUUUAUUUUACUGGCUCCAGAACAUUUCUCAAAGUCAGUUAAAAGUCUGGCAAUAUUUCAGACAGUUUCCGAGGAUUUAUUGGGUGCUACAGGAAAACUCUCUAUGACUAGGAUUUCCAGAGAAUCCCCGGAGUCUGAGGUUGGGAAUAAAACCUAGGACUGCUCCGACCAGCGCACCGAGUAAGUCUCCAACCAGGCACAGCCACGAGAACCGAUCUGCCUUCUACAAGCGGCCACAACUCUCAGGACAGAAGCUCCUCUCCGGACUCAGCAGGCUGAGGAUAAGGGAACCCUGGCCGUCCCCAUACCAGCUCAUCUGCAAGGUGCCUGAUCGUGUGUCCCUGUGCCGUCCGGCAGGUAAGAGAAAGGUUACUCUAGAAGGAGCAGGCAGCCAGUGACCGUUUGUGGGUUUGGAGAGGGCAAGGGAGGCCACGGACCGGAAGGCCCUGCCUGGAGCCCCCCAUGCUGAAGCCUGGGGCUAGGUGAGCGUCCAGGGCCAGGCAGCCAGCCCCAUCAAGUGGCGGGUUAACCAAAGGCUGGACAAUGGCCUCUGUGUCUCCAGGGAUGCGGUCUCCUCCAGUCAAGACCUUUUUUUUUUUUAAGUUUAUUUAUUUAUCUCGAGAGAGCAAGAACAGCAGGGGAGGGGCAGAGAGAGAGGGCGACAGAAGAUCGGAAUCAGGAUCUCUGCUGACAGGAGACAGCCCGACGCAGGGCUCAAACCCCCGGACCUUGAGAUCAUGACCUGGGCCAAAGCUGGGACACUUAACCGAGUGAGCCACCCAGGCGCCCCGCCGGUCAAGAGCUUUGACAGGCGACUCUUCUGGGCCCAGUGCUAGGCCCACAGGCCUGACCCUGCCACGCAGGUGAGAACGGGUGCUCUGAGGGUAAGUGGGGAGCUGGGCCGCACGCAGCAGGGUCUGGCGGACGACUUGAGCCAACCAUCAACAUCGACGUCAAGGCAGGACAUUUGUGUCCCGCGGGGCAAAACACCUUGGAAUUGUUUCACAGUUUACCAGGGAAAUGAGACAAUAAAACAAAUCUGGCUGAACUGCAAGCAAGGACAGGAGAAAGGGGGAAACAGGUCAGGGACUGGCCGGUGUAGGCGACGGCGGCCGAUCCGGGGUGGCUCCGAGGGGCAGAGCGCAAAGCCCCACCCCACCUGCCUCUUGCCCAGCUUUCCGGGCCGAGGGGAGAGGCCGGUGCCAAGCAGUGGUGUGGCCUGGCACUCUUCCCCCUGCCUCCCGGGGCUCUCAGGGAGCCCUCCCCACCUCACCCCAGCCUAUGUGCAUCCCAACAGAGGCCGGGAACACUAGCUAAUCAGCACGACUACUGCGCAUAAAAGAUGAUUACCACUUUCAAAACAUCAAACUGCUUCCAGAUGCCAUCGGCCCUGUUCUUCUGACCUUUGUUUUGGAAGUCACGUAACAUGCAUCCUGUAUCUGGAGGGGACCCUGGAUAUCUACGCUCAAAAUAGCAUCACUGAUAAGCCUCUUUUACAUAAACACAUCCAAGGUCCUGUUGACAAAUGCAGGACCUCCAGCUAUCUGAGGGGAAAACACGAACGGCCUGGUGGAGGGCAUCUGCCAGCUCCCCUGGGGUAAUACCCCCACCGUGGCUGAUUCCCACGUGACGUCACUCAACACGGAGUGUGGAAAGAUGCGCCCCCGGACCUGCACCUGUACCUACGCACAUCUCCCCACACAGGUACGACUGACGUAAAUAACCUCGAGAGCACAGGUAACAGUAAGACCUAGUAAAGCAAUUAUAAGGGAGGAGCGUUGAGUCUUUCCAUUUUGUCUUUAAUAGGAUUUAUUUCACGGUAACUGUAUCUCAAUCUUAUUGGAAAAAAUUUAGUGUUUGUUUUUAUU